rnacentral:lncRNA from 1 species
AGUCCUCAGAGCUCAGACAGUAGCUGCUCAUGUGUUUGUCCUUUCUAUAGAAAACAGUCCACAGACUGUUACAGAGGAAGGUCUCAGUGCUUCACUCAGUCUGUUCACACUGUGACAGAAACACACAUGAACACAUGUUCAUUUAUUCACAUGUUCACACAUGGAGAGAAGUGACAGAAUUCUGAAGCAAACACUGAAUGUGUGUGUGCACUGUUCCACUUACAGCAUGUGACAUCAAUAAUAACAGCAUCAGAGAUGUUGGUGUGUUUACAGACUCACCAAAAUAAAAGCCUGAGAACCAAACCUGGUCUGAGGCUCUGAUGCUAAGCUAACAGCAUGAUUAGCCUGUUAGCAUCUACAUGAAGGAUCAAUAACAACAUGCUGACUGUGUGUUUCUGUGUCAUGUUGCUGUGUUUGUGUGAAGGUGUGAGCUCUGCUAUGAGUCAGUGUGAGGACAGAGAGGAGGGAGUCCCUCCCUCUAAAAGCCCUCUGUGUGGGGACCAUGAGAGCCGGACCAAAGCUCAGAGAACAAAGCAGCAGCACACUGCACACUCUGCUGGACCUGGACCUGGACCUGGACCUGGGCCUGGACCUGGACCUGGACCUGGACCUGGACCUGGACCUGCCAGCUGUGUGUCCAUGAAGAGUGAUUGGUCAAAGGAUCGGCCCCCUGAUUUCAAAGAUGUUGAUCCAUCUGAGGGUCAAAGGAUCCAGGAUGUGAGAGCAGACUCUGCUGGACCUGGACCCAGCUGUGUGUCCAUGAAAAGUGAUCGGUCGAUGUUUGAGCCCAUUAAUUUCAAAGCUGAUCAGCCAUCUGAUGAUCAAAGGUAAGAAUCACUCUGGAAGUGUCUCCAUGCUGUGAUGAGCUCUGCUGGACUCUUGGGGUUGUAUGUGUCUGUUUGCUCUGCAGGUGGUUGAUGGUUUGGAGCAUCUGUAGCACAGAGUAAUGCAUAUUUACAGUGCUGCUUCAAAGUGUAUGAAUCAUUUAAAAUCUUCUAUAUGUCUGCAUAAACAUGACUUAAACAUCUGCCUCACUGUACUAGAAAGGCAGCCCACUGAAACAAAGUAUGGAAAGACAUUUCAGUAAUAAAACAUUUAAAUAAAUGAUAGAUUCA